GGGUGCGACGGCUGGCCGUUGCAGGUUCGGGCUGGUCGGGCCGCCAGCC
rnacentral:ncRNA from 1 species